rnacentral:lncRNA from 1 species
AAUAUGGUAGUGAAAGAUAAGGCGAAAGUGAGAUUAACACAUUACCAGAUCAGUAUUCCGUGUCUGUUAAUCCGUGUAGUCCUACUCAAGUUGACGAGUCUUACGCAGUUAUAAGUGGCUCCACACUGCUUCAUACAAGUUAGCCUAGGUUAAUAUAAAUUCCCUUGCAAACUAGGCAAAAAGAGCAUACCUUCCAAAUAAACUCAUCAGAGUUCACUAAGAGAUUCAUAUCAAGAACAUAAUAGAAAGCAAGCGAGGUUUUAAUGAUGUUUACACUGUUCUUUCGAAAACUACUAAAGGGACUCUGGGUCACAGCAUCCAGAGGACCAGCUCUCAACCAGGAAGAUUUUGAUG